UUAAUGUUCUUGUUUCUUGCUGUCACGUAAAACCGCCGUGCAACGUGGCGCAAUCGAUGAGAAUUACUCCGCUACUAUUGCGCGAGGGUCAAGCGACCGGUGACGUAUUGCACCUGUCGAUCGAGACUUGCAUCAGAUGGACGGAAAAUGGAAUAUUCUGAUUUAUUCGCUGAUCCCACGAUUUACAUAUUGUCGCCGUUAGAUGUCGCACCGAGUGCCACCUAGCGUCCCGAUUAGUCGAUCGAUACGAGGGCGAGACACACUUUUGGUGCCGUACAUGCGUGGAUGGAGAAGAAGCUGUUCACGAGUUAUCCAUUGUAAAUCGUGGAAUCCGGAAGAUAUAUGUUAAUCGCAGUUGGUAACCGACGCUUAUUCGGUAUAAAGAACUUACCUACAGAUCCAUAUUGAUGAUAUCAUUGAGCGAAAGGUGGCGACACAAGUCUAACUUGACGAGAUUGAUGGGAUAUCAUUGGACUCCGUGGUCGAAUCGCUUCCAAUUUGAAGGGGAUCGAGUGUCAUAAAGAUGACGAGAAACGGAAGUGGAUGGCAGAAGUCAACUUGUUCGAGCAAGUUUCUUCUGCUUCCUCGGCAAAACGGAUGGGUACUUCCGCGGUGCGUGGCAUCUACUAUUUUCAUGGAUACACGUGUCGCGGGUAUUUUAGAUCCGCGGUACAUCGCGCACCGACGUUCGAGGAAGAUUGAUGAGGUACAAUAAUGUCCUGCUAAUGAUGACAGUAGCCCAUGUUGACUUAACCCGUCGCCGUGAUGGACGUUGCAGUAUAUUAGGAGCAGCAUUUAUGACAGAUACGUCACGCGAAUAUGUCAGCCAUACGUAGCGGAAGAUUAGGCCCGUUCUUUGAGAUCAAAUCUGGCAAGAAGACGUACAAGUGUCAGUAAAUUCAAAUAUUAUAGCUAGAGAGCUUUCAGAAUACAAGAUGGCCGCCAGAAUGAGGAAUAAAAAAUCCAAGGCAUUUCGGAAUAUGAAGAUUAAAGCCAAUGGAGCUAGAAGUUAACGAAUCUAAUUGCUGAAGAUGGGCAUAGAUUUGAUAAUUAGAAAAUAUUUGGCAUCCCACGAAGUACGAUCUAUCGGAGAUAAUUUCUUGGAGACCUCGUGCGAUACAUUUAUAAAGCAACUACAGAGGAUGUAAAUCUGCUGGCAAACUCAGAAUACGAGGUUUGCAAUAUAAGUAUAUCAACAAUAAUGUGUUUCAAAUUUGAAUAAAAUUGGCACAAGAGAAUUUUGUUCAAGGAAAAAAUUGUGUUUUUGCGACACAUUCUGUUGUGAGGAAAUAGUUAGGCGGUUCUACGAACGGGCGGAGCAAGACUCCCAGCAUCCUGUUGGCUAAGAAACGGACCAAUAGCUUGCCUUCAUCUUUGCGUCGUAUGCAUUCGCGGCUAUGCAUCGCGCGGUUCCAAAGACGGAUGCGUUACUCAUCGUAAGUAUAGAUAGUGAUAUCCGACGAAGCAAUACUCACUUGCAAUUUUCAAGCAAACUAAGUAUUAACCGCUCGUGUGAAGAGUAUUGGCGUGUGCUCGAACAUCGUUUACAUCGUCGCGGGAAUUUUCAUUCGCGUCAAUAAACUGAUAUCAAGUACUUAAAUACAUUCGCGAUAUCUUGAAAUUAAUGUAUGUUAUCUAUGAAUAUUUUACUCAAUCUGUAGCUGAUAUUUUCUUAAUUGCAAACAUCAAUAAAUCUUUAAAUAGAGCUUUCUUAUAGCGAUUGGAUAUUUUGACGAAAUGUAAGUAGGCAAACAAACAUUUAUGUAAAAUUUAAAAUUUACAAGUAGAAAUUUAUUAAGUUUUUAAUUUAAGAAUUACGAAAAUGUUUAAUA